UUCCAGACUCCUACGGGAGGCAGCAGUGGGGAAUAUUGCACAAUGGGGGAAACCCUGAUGCAGCGACGCCGCGUGAGUGAAGAAGUCUUUCGGUAUGUAAAGCUCUCUCAGCAGGGAAGAAAAUGACGGUACCUGAUUAAGAAGCCCCGGCUAACUACGUGCCAGCAGCCGCGGUAAUACGUAGGGGGCAAGCGUUAUCCGGAUUUACUGGGUGUAAGGGGAGCGUAGACGGCAGCGCAAGUCUGGAGUGAAAUGCCGGGGUCCAACCCCGGAACUGCUCUGGAAACUGUGAAGCUGGAGUGCAGGAGAGGUAAGCGGAAUUCCUGGUGUAGCGGUGAAAUGCGUAGAUAUCAGGAGGAACACCGGCGGCGAAGGCGGCUUACUGGACUGUAACUGACGUUGAGGCUCGAAGGCGUGGGGAGCAAACAGGAUUAGAUACCCCAGUA
rnacentral:rRNA from 1 species